rnacentral:rRNA from 1 species
UCCUACGGGAGGCAGCAGUAGGGAAUCUUCCGCAAUGGACGAAAGUCUGACGGAGCAACGCCGCGUGAGUGAUGAAGGUUUUCGGAUCGUAAAGCUCUGUUGUUAGGGAAGAACAAGUGCGAGAGUAACUGCUCGCACCUUGACGGUACCUAACCAGAAAGCCACGGCUAACUACGUGCCAGCAGCCGCGGUAAUACGUAGGUGGCAAGCGUUAUCCGGAAUUAUUGGGCGUAAAGCGCGCGCAGGUGGUUUCUUAAGUCUGAUGUGAAAGCCCACGGCUCAACCGUGGAGGGUCAUUGGAAACUGGGAGACUUGAGUGCAGAAGAGGAAAGUGGAAUUCCAUGUGUAGCGGUGAAAUGCGUAGAGAUAUGGAGGAACACCAGUGGCGAAGGCGACUUUCUGGUCUGUAACUGACACUGAGGCGCGAAAGCGUGGGGAGCAAACAGGAUUAGAUACCCUGGUAGUCCACGCCGUAAACGAUGAGUGCUAAGUGUUAGAGGGUUUCCGCCCUUUAGUGCUGAAGUUAACGCAUUAAGCACUCCGCCUGGGGAGUACGGCCGCAAGGCUGAAACUCAAAGGAAUUGACGGA